AUUAAAAUGCUCAGGCACAAUGUUGGUAUUCUUUCCUCCAUUCAUAGCCACCCUCCCACUCCACUAUCAUGUUAAUAAAUGAAAACACUGAUAUAUUACCAUACACUAAGAAUUUUACAUACAUUAACUCAUUGAAUCUUCUUAAUAAUGUUAUGAGGUAGAUGUUCUAUUUACCCCAGUUGAGUUAGAUGAAGGACGUGAAGCACCAGCAAGUUAACUGAGCUACCCUAAGUUACAGGGGCUCAUAAGCAGUUAGGAUCAGAACACAGAACAGAGUAGCUUCAUGGCUGUGCACAAUACCCUGCACCGUCCCACCCUGACUCCUAGCCAUGUUUGAUGACAAAAUGUCAAAUCUUGCUCUUUGUGCAUAAUUUGCCUGAAGAUACAGAGAAAUUAUCCUGCCUCCACCCCAUACUCUUCACCCGGUCACAUUUGCCAGCUCAUGGGCCUAGAAAAGCAAUCUUCAGCUCUUUCCGAGUAAAGCAGGCUAAUAGAGCAAGCCUGCAGCCUGAAAAAAUUUGAUUUCACUCUUAAUAACAUACUUAAUUACAUUACAAAUCUAACAUUUUAUUUGACUCUCCCAAAUUGAAGUUCAGAGUCAAUUAGUUAAGUAAUAUGUAAAAAAAAACAAACAAACAAAAAAAAAAACAGGACUUGAGAACUUAGGGGAUGUGAUUCCGAAGUGCCCGAGUGGCAAUGUUUCCUGUGUGUCUGAGGCUCAAAAAUUUCACAUCGAGAGAGGUGCUGGAUUUCAAGUGUUGAGUGACUAUACUUGAAUCACAAGGCAAUUCAUUCCCAGAUCCCAGGUCAUCACAUAUCUCCAGAGAAAUAUAGGAGAUGAAACCAUGGGACGGAUUUACACACUCAAGGGGGCUCAUUUGAGAACUAUCCCAAAUGAGGAUGGGGGAGUAUCCAGGAAUGAUUCCGCAUGAUAUGCGUGCUUUGGCACUAUGAUUUCCUUACCCAAUUCCAAAUCUUGCACAUCAAAACAACAGAAAGACUCAUAAAUGCAGAAAAGCUCAUUAGCUGAAUAGUGGUGGCAGAAAUGAGGACAUAUUUGGCUGGAAAGUGUUUAAAUCCUUGUGAUCUCAGAGCUCAUAAUGUGUACAAACCCAAAGACAUCAUUAACCAUGUACAGAGUUGUGCUUCUGUAGUCCCUUUAACAUUGAACAUGAGAGAACAAGACUCCCUGGAAAUAAACAAAAUCCACCCCUAUGCCCCACACCUAACGUCAGGACAACCAAAAGGCAUGAAUGAAUGUAGAAAGCAAAAGUAUCCCAGAGCUUAACUUCUUGGACCGUGAAUUAUUCUCUAGUGUGUAAGGAAAUUAUAUUCCUGGAGGCAGCCUCUGAGGCAGUUUUAACCUAGAAACUUUUCCAGAAUCUGCCAUAAGCCCCUGCUUUAAGCCAGGGGCUCUAUCUGUUGAGUGUUGCUGCUUCUGCUGCUGUAACAAAUUACCAAAGCUGUAGUAGCUUAAAAUGACACCAAUUUAUUAUCUUAAAGUUAUUAUGGUCUGUAGUUCAAAAUGGGUUGGCAGGAUUGUGUUCCUUCUAGAAAUUCAAGAAGAGAAUCCAAUUCCUUGUCCUUUUCAAUUUCAGGGGGUUUCAUGCAUCCAAUGACUCACAGUCUCUUUCCUCCAUCUCUAAAGACAACAGAGGUUUGAAUUCUUCUGACACUGAAUCACUCUGACCUCUACUUUUCUUUUAACAUUUCUUCUCUGGUCUUAAUCCUGCUGUCUCAAUUUUAUAAAGCCCUUAUGAAUACAUUAGGUCCACUUAUGUAAUACAGGAUAAUCUGUCUAUCUGAAGAUUCUUAAUCACAUCUACAAAGUCCCCUUUUGCCAUGAAAGGUAACUGUGAUGGUUAAUAUUAAGUGUCAACCUGAUUGGAUUGAAGGAUGCAGAGUAUUGUUCCUGGGUAUGUCUGUGAGGGUGUUGCCAAAGGAGAUUAAUAUUUGAGUCAGUGGACUGGGAGAGGCAGACCCACCCCCAAUGUGGGUGGGCACCAUCUGGUCGGCUGCCAGUGCAGCUUGAAAAAGCAGGUGGCUUAAGCUGGCUUUUGCUGAGUCUUCUGGUUUUCAUCUUUCUCCUGUGCUGAAUGCUUCCUGCCCUUGAACAUCAGACUCCAGGUUGUUCAGCCUUUGGAUUCUUGGACUUACACCAGUGGUUUGCCAGGGGCUUUUGUGUCUUUGGCCACAGACUGAAGGCUGCAUUGUCAGCUUCCCUACUUUUGGGGUUUUGGGACUUGGACUGAGCCACUACUGGCUUCCUUGCUCCUCAGCUUACAGACGACCUAACUUGGGACUUCACCUUGUGAUCCUGAAACUAUGGUGGAUGUAUUCUAGACAGAAGAAGGAUUAAACCAAGAUAAAAACAAUGUGAAUGAGGAAAGUGGGAGUAACAGGGAUUCCAAGAGAAAGAAGGAGAACUGGUAAUUGAUGUGGGGCCAAACAGCACAGUACAGCAGAAAGGAUCUAAAUUUGGGAAUUAUACUGAGAUUUUCCAUUUGUCAAAAAUGAGGAGUACUAAUCAGUAGUGCUAUGGAAACAAGACACUAACAGUUAUAGUCCGGAAGAAGAGAUGAUAACAUCUGUCCCUAAAAAGAGAUGCUGUGAGAAUGGGUAGCCAUCGAAAGCAAUUCUGUUCAUCAGACAAGAGUUCUUGCUAUUUACACCACAUCUGCAGUGACUUCCUCCACUGAAGUAUUGAACCUUUAAAGUCAUCCAUGAAGGUUGAAAUCAACUUCUUCCAAACUCCUCAUAGGAUUGAUAUUUUGACCUCCUCCCAUAAACGACAAAUUUUCUGAAUGUCAUCUAAAAUGGCAAUUUUUUUCCAGAAGGUUUUCAACUUUGCCCAGAUCCAUUAGAGGAAUCACUGUAGCAGUUAUAUCCUUAAUAAAUGUAUUUGUAAAAUAAUAAUACUUGAAAGUCAAAAUUACUCCUUAACUGUGGGCUACAGGAUAGAUGUUGUGUUAGCAGUCAUGAAAAAAACAUUAAUCUCCUUGAACAUCUUCAUCAGAGCUCUUGGGUAACCAGGUGCAUUGUCAGUGACCAGGAAUAUUUUGAAAGGAAUUUCAAAAGGUCUCAACAGUAAGGCUUAAAAUAUUCAAUAAACCAUACUGUAAACAGAUGUGUUGUCAUCUAGGCUUUGUUAUUUCAUUUCUAGAACAAAUGCAGAGUAUAUUUAGCAUAAUUCUUAAGGACCCCAGUAUUUUCAGAAGGGCUAAUGUGUAUCGUCUUCAUCUUAAAGCCACCAACUGUAUUAGCUCCUAAAAAGAGAGUCAGCCUGUUCUUUGAAGCUUUGAAGCUAGGCAUUGACUUCUUCUCUCUAGCUACAAAAGUUCUAGAGGGCAUCUUCUUCCAAUAGAAGGCAUUUUGGUCUACAUUAGAAAUCUGUUGUUUAGUGUAGCCAUGUUCAUCAAUUAUCUUAGGCAGGAGAACUUCAGCUGGAGAACUUGCUGUAGCUUCUUGCACUUGCUUCACUUGCACUUUUAGGUUGGAGACGGUUUUAUAAAGAUAAUUUAUUUUCUUAAAUCCCAUGAAUCAACACCUACUAGCUUUAAACUUUUCUCUUCAGCUUCCUCACCACUCUCAGACUUCAUAGAAUUGAAGAGGUUAAGGCCUUGUUCUGGAUUAAGCUUUGGCUUAAGGAAAUGUUGUGGCUGAUUUGAUCAUUUUUAUUCAGACCACUCAAAAUUUCUCCAUUAAGCCAUAGGCUGUUUUGCUUUCUUAUAAUUUGUGUGUUCACUGGAGUCACACUUUUAUUUUUUAGAGACAAGUUCUUGCUCUAUUGCCCAGGCUGCAGUGCAGUGACACAAUCAUAGCUCACUGCAACCUUGAACUCCUGGGCUCAAGUGAUCCUCCUGCCUCAGCCUCCCAGGUAGCUGGGACUAUAGACAUGCACCACCAUACUUGGCUUAUUUUUUUUAAAUAAGUCUUCACUAUGUUGCCCAGGCUGGUCUUGAACUCCUGGUCUCAAGGAAUUUCCCCACCUUAGCCUCCCAAAACUCUAGGAUUACAGGCAUAAGCCACCACACCUGUCCUGGAGUAGCACUUUUAAUUUCCAUCAAGAACUUUUCCCUUGCAUCCACAACUUGGCUACUUGUUGCAAGAGGCCUAGCUUUCAGCCUAUCCUGACUUUCAACAUGCCUUCCUCACUAAGCUUAGUCAUUUCUAGCUUUUGAUUUAAAGUGAGAGCCAUGUGGCUCUUCCUUUCACUUGAACACUUCGAGUCCAUUGUAGAGCUAUUAAUUGCCCUAAUUUUUUUAUUGUUGUUUUAAUAUUUGCUACUACCACCAAGAUCUGCGCCUGCAGUGGCUCCACCCAGGCCCAUGUUCUAUUAAGGGACAUUGCAAUGGCCCUUCUACUCAUCUUGGCAUAGUGUCUUUAGGCUUGGGAGAUCUGAGCACUGCUCUGUCCUUCCUGCUCUAGUCCCUCUACUAGCAAUGGCUGCAUAUUGGCUCAACUCCUCAGCACCAUCCAUUUUCAGGGACAGUUGAGUAGUCAGUUGAGUUGUUAUACACUCCUUAGUGGAUUCUGACUUCCAUGGUCACUGUACUGUUGUAUAAUCAACUAUCCUAAUUUCAACAUUGUUGUGUCUCAGGGAAUAGGGAGGCCUGAAGUUAAGGAGAGACAUGGAGCAAUGAUCAAUCAGUUGAGCAAUCAAAACACACACAACAAUUAUCAAUGAAGUUUACUGUCUUAUAUGGGCAUGUUUUCUGGUGCCACAAAACAAUUACAAUAGUAACAUCAAAGGUCACUGAUCACAAAUCACCGUAACAGAUAUAAUAAUAGUGGAAGUUUGAAAUAUUGCAAGAAUUACCAAAAUGUGUCACAAAGACCUGAUGGACUUGCUAGAGGCAAGGCUGCCAAAAACUUUCAAUUUGUUAAAUAUGCAAAAUCUGCAUGGUAAAAUAAAGCAUAGCACAAUAAAAAGAAAUAUGCAUGUAUACACUAUUUAUAAUGUAUAUCCCUACAUAUAAUAUAUAUCAAUAUAUAAUAAAUGUACGUAUUGUUACAUAUUUGCAAAUAUAUAUGGUGAAAUAUAUCCAUGAGUUGCCAAAUCUGUUUUCACAACAUUAUGAACCUUCAAAAACAUGCCCAGCAAGGAGUCAUGAUGGCUGUGCAUACCCACGAACAGGGUUGAUUAGAAACAACUGUUUCAUUUACACAACACUGGGUCAUAUGACAAAUAAAUAACAGCAACCUGCCUAUUUUUAAAAUUUUGACAUCUUGCUUCUCAUGAAUUUUUUUAAUUUUUGAUUUUUUAAAUUCAUUGCCUUAACUAUUAUUUAGCCUGAUUACUGAGUUUUUGGCACCACUUUUAAAAAAAUAACUCAUUUAUUUUGAAAUGAUUUUCAUUGUAUAUAUUUAUGGGGUACAACAUGACUUUUUCAUAUAUGUAUACAUAAUGGAACAAUUAAUCAAAGUAAAUAACAUAUCUUCACCUCAUAAACAUCUUUUCUGUGGUUAGAACAUUUAAAAUCUACUUUCUUAGCACUUUUCAAGUAUGUAGCACAUUAUUAUUAACUAUAGUCACUCUGCUGUAUAACAAAAUAAAUGUCCAGAACUUAAUCAUCUUGUUUAACUGAAUCUUUCUAUAUUUUGACAAACAUCUGUCCUUGUUCCCAGCCUAUGAAAAGAAUACCCUACUCUUUUGAGUUCAACUUUUUCAGAUUCUACAUAAAAGUGAGAUCAUACAGUAUUUUUUUCUGUGCCUAGCUUAUUUUACUUAGCAUAAUAUCCUGCAGAUACAUCCAUAGUAUCUCAAAUAGCAAGAUACCCUUUUUUCUAAGGCUGAAUCUUAUUCCAUUGUGUGUAUCCGUCCCAUUUUCUUUAUCCAUUCAUCCAUCAAGAGAUAUUAUUUUAUUGUCAUAUCUUGGCUAUGAAUAAUAGUUCGCUAUUAAGAAUAAUGCUGCAAUGAACAUGAGGCUGUAGAUACCUCUGUGACAUAACUGAUUUCAUUUCCUUUGGAUAUACACACAGAAGUGGAAUUGCUGGAUUAUGUGGUAGUUUUAUUUUUAAUUUUUGAGAAACCUCCAUACUACUUUUCAUAAUGGCUAUACUAAUUUACAUUCCCACAAACAGUGUGCAAGGGUUCCCUUUUCUCUACAUAUUUGCCAAUAUUUGUCUUUUGUAUUUUAAUAAAUGCUAUUCUCACAGGUGUGAAGUGAUAGCUCAUUCACACCUGUGAAUUUGCAUUCCCCUGAUGAUUAGUGAUGUGAAAUAUUUUUUUUUUUGUAUACUUAUUGGCCUUUUGAUUCUCUUCUUUUGAAAAAUAUUUAUUAAAGUUCUGUGCCCAUUUUUUAAUCAGUUUGUUUGUUUUCUUGCAUAGAGUUGAGUUCCUUAUAUAUUUUUUAAAUUAACCCUUUAUCAAAUAUAUUGUUGGUAUAGUUUGAAUAUUUGUCCCCACCCAAAUUUCAUGUUGAAAUGUAAUCCCAGUGUUGGAGUUGGACCCUGGUAGCAGGUGUUUGGAUCAUUGGGGAGGAUCCCUCAUGAAUGGCUUGGGCCGUCUCUUUGGUGAUAAGUGAGUUCUGGCUCUGAGUUCACAUAAGAUCUGGUCAUUUACAACUGUACAACAGCUCCUGGCUACUCUUUCUCUCACUUGCCACUGCCGUAUGGUGUUCCUACUCCCCCUUUGCCUUCCACCAUGAUUGUAAGCUUCCUGAAGCCUCCCCAGAGGCUGAGCAGAUACCAGCACCAGGCUUCCUGUAAAGCCUGCAGAACUGUGAGCCAAUUAAAUCCUUUUUCUUUAUAAAUUACCCAGUCUCAGACAUUUCUUUAGAUCAAUGUGAGUGAGCUAAUACAAUGGUUUACAAAUACUUUCUCUUGUUAAACAGGUUGUCUCAUGAAUAGCUUGUUGAAUGUUUCCUUUGGUGUGCAGAAGCUCUUUAGUUUGAUGUAAUCCCAUUGCUUUAUUUUUCCUUUUGCUGUCUGUGCUUUUGUGAUAAUAUUCAAUAAAUCUUUGCUAAUACCAAUAUCAUGGAGCUUUUCCUCUAGUUUUUG
rnacentral:lncRNA from 1 species